CGUGAGUUACGUAGACCCUGUGCCUCUAGAGCUAAAGUGAUUUUAUCUCCAACAAAAGCACAGUUUUAUCUGAAAUAAUGGUCUUUUUAACGUGUUUAGUGUCGCUACGAACCGGGGCCCUCUAAACAUGAGUCCCGCCGUGAGUGGGUGAGCUUUUAUCCAGCGGCACCGGUCCAAAAGAGGAGUUUAAUCUACGGAGCUAAGUGCUAAAGCUAACUCAGGUGAAAUGUCAACUCCGUUUAAAAUCCCCCGCAGAGCUCCCUCAGACUCGGACUUGGUGCAGAUGACCUCUCCUCUGUCCAGACUCCAGAGCCCUGCAGACCCAUUGAAGAGCUUUUCCUCGUUCAGAGACAGGACUGUCAGUGGGAACAGCUCAGACAUACACAGAGGAACAAAGUCUCUCAAAGUCCAACUCAAAUCCAGAAUUGGACCCAAAACAAC
ensembl:lncRNA